CACCAGCGCCACGAGUGGCUAUCGCGAUUAUUGGGCCUAAAGCGUCCGUAGUCGGCUUUGUGCAUCUUCUGUGAAAUCGCAGCGCUCAACGUUGCGGCACGCGGAAGACACGGCAAAGCUUGAGAGCGGGAGGCGUGAAGGGUACUCCGGGGGGACCGGUAAAAUGGUAUAAUCCCCGGAAGACCACCUGUGGCGAAGGCGCUUCACGAGAACGCAUCUGACGAUGAGGGACGAAAGCCAGGGGAGCAAACCGG
rnacentral:rRNA from 1 species